CGGACGGGUGAGUAACGCGUGGGUAACCUGCCUUGUACAGGGGGAUAACAGUCAGAAAUGACUGCUAAUACCGCAUAAGCGCACAGGACCGCAUGGUCCAGUGUGAAAAACUCCGGUGGUAUAAGAUGGACCCGCGUUGGAUUAGCUAGUUGGUGGGGUAACGGCCUACCAAGGCGACGAUCCAUAGCCGGCCUGAGAGGGUGAACGGCCACAUUGGGACUGAGACACGGCCCAG
rnacentral:rRNA from 1 species